rnacentral:rRNA from 1 species
UACGGGGGGGGCAAGCGUUGUUCGGAAUUACUGGGCGUAAAGGGCUCGUAGGUGGCCAACUAAGUCAGACGUGAAAUCCCUCGGCUUAACCGGGGAACUGCGUCUGAUACUGGAUGGCUUGAGUUUGGGAGAGGGACGCGGAAUUCCAGGUGUAGCGGUGAAAUGCGUAGAUAUCUGGAGGAACACCGGUGGCGAAGGCAAUCCCCUGGGCCUGCACUCGACGGCUCAUGCACGAAAGCGUGGGGAGCAAACAGGA